AGAGUUUGAUCCUGGCUCAGAUUGAACGCUGGCGGCAGGCCUAACACAUGCAAGUCGAGCGGUAGAGAGGUGCUUGCACCUCUUGAGAGCGGCGGACGGGUGAGUAAAGCCUAGGAAUCUGCCUGGUAGUGGGGGAUAACGCUCGGAAACGGACGCUAAUACCGCAUACGUCCUACGGGAGAAAGCAGGGGACCUUCGGGCCUUGCGCUAUCAGAUGAGCCUAGGUCGGAUUAGCUAGUUGGUGAGGUAAUGGCUCACCAAGGCGACGAUCCGUAACUGGUCUGAGAGGAUGAUCAGUCACACUGGAACUGAGACACGGUCCAGACUCCUACGGGAGGCAGCAGUGGGGAAUAUUGGACAAUGGGCGAAAGCCUGAUCCAGCCAUGCCGCGUGUGUGAAGAAGGUCUUCGGAUUGUAAAGCACUUUAAGUUGGGAGGAAGGGCAUUAACCUAAUACGUUAGUGUUUUGACGUUACCGACAGAAUAAGCACCGGCUAACUCUGUGCCAGCAGCCGCGGUAAUACAGAGGGUGCAAGCGUUAAUCGGAAUUACUGGGCGUAAAGCGCGCGUAGGUGGUUCGUUAAGUUGGAUGUGAAAUCCCCGGGCUCAACCUGGGAACUGCAUUCAAAACUGUCGAGCUAGAGUAUGGUAGAGGGUGGUGGAAUUUCCUGUGUAGCGGUGAAAUGCGUAGAUAUAGGAAGGAACACCAGUGGCGAAGGCGACCACCUGGACUGAUACUGACACUGAGGUGCGAAAGCGUGGGGAGCAAACAGGAUUAGAUACCCUGGUAGUCCACGCCGUAAACGAUGUCAACUAGCCGUUGGGAGCCUUGAGCUCUUAGUGGCGCAGCUAACGCAUUAAGUUGACCGCCUGGGGAGUACGGCCGCAAGGUUAAAACUCAAAUGAAUUGACGGGGGCCCGCACAAGCGGUGGAACAUGUGGUUUAAUUCGAAGCAACGCGAAGAACCUUACCAGGCCUUGACAUCCAAUGAACUUUCCAGAGAUGGAUUGGUGCCUUCGGGAACAUUGAGACAGGUGCUGCAUGGCUGUCGUCAGCUCGUG
rnacentral:rRNA from 1 species